CGGACAUUCCAGGCGUUACCAGCCCCAGCGUGGAGGAGCUGAAGCUUGAGAACCACCAUGUCCAAAGCUGUGAGGAGAAAGUGAGCGCAGCAGGUGAGGAAGAGCAGUUCGACAUGGACAUCUAACGCACCUGCCCGGAGAGUGCUGAUCCAGUGAAGCACCAGGACUUGCCUUGAGGAUUCCCACCAGCCAGGCUUACAGCAGCCCAUGCCUUGAGUGCCUUCCUGCUCCUGGGAAGGGCAGAUUCCCACAGGAGAGCAGAGCAGGUCCUGUUCCAGGGGCCGGGGCUCGGGGUGCUGGAGGAGACACUCUCCCCCUCGGUUUCGGUUCCAGUUUUAUGCUUUUGUUAAUCAUUUUAAUACUGUAACAGUUACAGAAAUGCAAUAUAAGGGAGAAAUAAAAAUCAUGUGGAGUCUCCUGGUGUGGAGAUGAAUGCAAUAAA